GCCGGGGUGCCCGAGCGGACCAAGGGGCUGGCCUUGAGAGCUUCCUGGUUAGCCAGUAGGGAACUCCCUGCGCGGGUUCAAAUCCCGCCCCCGGCG
rnacentral:tRNA from 2 species